GGGAACUGAUGAGGUCCGUCCGCGAAGGAAUCACGAGAUGUCGGUCACUUCGGCGCUCGGCUGCGGCGCCGCCUUCCUCCGCCACCUCUCCGCCGGGUCCCGGUCCGGUUCGACGCUGAUUCUGCUUCGUGCGGGAGGGGCCAAGCCGCGGCCGUACUCCUCGUCCCUCGCGCGUUGCGCCGCCCCCGAACCCCCUGACGUCUCCCGCCUCGCCGACACCGCUCGCAUCUCCCUCACCCCGGAAGAGGUGGAACAAUUUGCCCCCAAGAUCAGACAAGUCAUCGACUGGUUUGGACAACUUCAGGCUGUUGAUCUGGAAACCAUUGAACCGUCACUUCGAGCUGAUGCUGAUGCUAGCACAAGCCAAAGAGAAGAUGCUCCAGAAACAUUUGGGAACAGGGAGGCAAUUAUAGCAGCAGUUCCAAGCUACGACGACCCAUAUAUAAAAGUUCCAAAGGUCUUGAAUAAGGAGUAAAGUUUCAUUUCCUUGCCUGCUGUUUCAAACAGUAAACAGGUUGGAUCUUCAAGGUGCAAGGGUGGUUCUCAGCUUUGAUCAAGGGAGGGAGGUCAUAGAGCAAAACCAUAGGCAGCAAUAUCCUGAUAUGGUGACUAAUAACUUGCCUGAUAGAACAGAGCUAGGAAGGGUGGCGAUGGAACAUUCGUUUCAUAUAACAGAAUUUGUUGAUGAGCCCACCUUUUACCUUGCUGUCUUGAGAUUCCAUGACUAAGAAAACUCAGGUUAUUCUUUUUGA